rnacentral:rRNA from 1 species
UGCAGUCGAACGGUGAAGCAGAGCUUGCUCUGUGGAUCAGUGGCGAACGGGUGAGUAACACGUGAGUAACCUGCCCUUGACUCUGGGAUAAGCGUUGGAAACGACGUCUAAUACCGGAUACGACCCUCAACCGCAUGGUUAGGGGGUGGAAAGAUUUUUUGGUCAAGGAUGGACUCGCGGCCUAUCAGCUUGUUGGUGAGGUAAUGGCUCACCAAGGCGACGACGGGUAGCCGGCCUGAGAGGGUGACCGGCCACACUGGGACUGAGACACGGCCCAGACUCCUACGGGAGGCAGCAGUGGGGAAUAUUGCACAAUGGGCGCAAGCCUGAUGCAGCAACGCCGCGUGAGGGAUGACGGCCUUCGGGUUGUAAACCUCUUUUAGUAGGGAAGAAGCGAAAGUGACGGUACCUGCAGAAAAAGCACCGGCUAACUACGUGCCAGCAGCCGCGGUAAUACGUAGGGUGCAAGCGUUGUCCGGAAUUAUUGGGCGUAAAGAGCUCGUAGGCGGUUUGUCGCGUCUGCUGUGAAAACUGGAGGCUCAACCUCCAGCCUGCAGUGGGUACGGGCAGACUAGAGUGCGGUAGGGGAGAUUGGAAUUCCUGGUGUAGCGGUGGAAUGCGCAGAUAUCAGGAGGAACACCGAUGGCGAAGGCAGAUCUCUGGGCCGUAACUGACGCUGAGGAGCGAAAGCGUGGGGAGCGAACAGGAUUAGAUACCCUGGUAGUCCACGCCGUAAACGUUGGGAACUAGAUGUGGGGACCAUUCCACGGUCUCCGUGUCGCAGCUAACGCAUUAAGUUCCCCGCCUGGGGAGUACGGCCGCAAGGCUAAAACUCAAAGGAAUUGACGGGGGCCCGCACAAGCGGCGGAGCAUGCGGAUUAAUUCGAUGCAACGCGAAGAACCUUACCAAGGCUUGACAUAUACGAGAACGGGCCAGAAAUGGUCAACUCUUUGGACACUCGUAAACAGGUGGUGCAUGGUUGUCGUCAGCUCGUGUCGUGAGAUGUUGGGUUAAGUCCCGCAACGAGCGCAACCCUCGUUCUAUGUUGCCAGCACGUU